UACGAAGGGGGCUAGCGUUGCUCGGAAUCACUGGGCGUAAAGGGUGCGUAGGCGGGUCUUUAAGUCAGGGGUGAAAUCCUGGAGCUCAACUCCAGAACUGCCUUUGAUACUGAAGAUCUUGAGUUCGGGAGAGGUGAGUGGAACUGCGAGUGUAGAGGUGAAAUUCGUAGAUAUUCGCAAGAACACCAGUGGCGAAGGCGGCUCACUGGCCCGAGUACUGACGCUGAGGCACGAAAGCGUGGGGAGCAAACAGGGA
rnacentral:rRNA from 1 species